UGGGGAAUCUUGCGCAAUGGGCGAAAGCCUGACGCAGCGACGCCGCGUGCGGGAAGAAGGCCUUCGGGUUGUAAACCGCUUUCAGGAGGGACGAAGCCACUCGGGUUAAUAGCCCAGAGGGUGACGGUACCUCCAGAAGAAGCCCCGGCUAACUACGUGCCAGCAGCCGCGGUAAUACGUAGGGGGCAAGCGUUGUCCGGAUUUCUUGGGCGUAAAGAGCGCGUAGGCGGCCAGGUAGGUCAGCUGUGAAAACUCGAGGCUCAACCUAGAGAUGUCGGCAGAAACCAUCUGGCUAGAGUCCGGAAGAGGAGAAUGGAAUUGCCGGUGUAGCGGUGAAAUGCGGAGAUAACGGGAAGAACACCCGUGGCGAAGGCGGUUCUCUGGGAAGGUACUGACGCUGAGACGCGAAAGCGUGGGGAGCGAACAGG
rnacentral:rRNA from 1 species